UGCGUAGGCGGGCUAAUAAGUCAGUGGUGAAAUCUCUCGGCUCAACCGGGAAACUGCCAUUGAUACUGUUAGUCUUGAGUUCGGUUGAGGUAGGCGGAAUGUGUAACGUAGCGGUGAAAUGCUUAGAUAUUACACAGAACACCAAUUGCGUAGGCAGCUUACUAGACCGACACUGACGCUGAGGCACGAAAGCGUGGGGAGCGAACAGGAUUAGAUACCCUGGUAGUCC
rnacentral:rRNA from 1 species